CAGAAACACCAUUUGCGAUUCGUCAGCCACACGAAUAACGACGGCAGGGCAGUUGAGGCGACCGAGACCGUAAUAAGCAAUCCACGAAAGAUCGCGAGCAAGGGAAUGAAUUGGAACGGCAGCAGCAAGGAGAAGGGACUGUUGCGGCGGCUCCCAAUGCUGAAGAUGAAAGAGCUGGGAAAGCUGGGUCCUGGUCUAGGUUUCGGCACCGGUUGUGGUGUUGGCUUCGGCAUCGGCCUCAUGGGAGGAUUGGGAGCUGGAUUUGCUGGUAUGCAAGCUUGGAUUAGGAUUUGGAGCUGGAUGUGGAAUAGGUUUAGGUUUUGGUUAUGGUGUUGGGAGAGGAGUUGCAUAUGACGAAUACCGAAGACAUUCAAAUGUUGGAAAGCUGUUUCGUGGUGUCCGAAACAGUCCAUCUGAGAAUUAUGGUGAGGCUCUGUUUGAUGAACUUGUAGAAAGUACAAGAAAGCUGCUAAAAGCAACUUCUAGAGAGGUUGAGAAAUGGAGAUAAAAUGGAAAAUAUGUUGCUCUUCUCCAUGCAAAGGCGUACAGAACUAUCCAACCUUUAAUUUCUUACGUUGUUAAGAAAAAUUAAUUGAAUAUUUAAAGAUUGUUAAGUCACACUAAUAGCACGUUUUUUGUGUUUUUUUUUUUCCUUUGAUUUGGUUGUGGUGCAACUUUACAUCAUUUCUUUUUCUCCACGUUGUAUUAUUGAAAUAGUUGAACUGA